GUAUCUCAAGUACGGUGAAAACUAUUUAUUUAUAUUUAGUAUACAGACAGGUUACAGUCAUUGCAUGGUUGUACAAACAUAAUCUUAAGUUCUAGGCUAGACGGCAACCCAAAAAUAGUAUACAUAACAUAAUUAUUAUUAGGUUG